AGGAAAGACAUCACCUCGCAGAAGAAGCCCCCGGCUAACUCCGUGCCAGCAGCCGCGGUAAUACGGAGGGUGCAAGCGUUAAUCGGAAUUACUGGGCGUAAAGCGCGCGUAGGUGGCUUGAUAAGCCGGUUGUGAAAGCCCCGGGCUCAACCUGGGAACGGCAUCCGGAACUGUCAAGCUAGAGUGCAGGAGAGGAAGGUAGAAUUCCCGGUGUAGCGGUGAAAUGCGUAGAGAUCGGGAGGAAUACCAGUGGCGAAGGCGGCCUUCUGGACUGACACUGACACUGAGGUGCGAAAGCGUGGGUAGCAAACAGGAUUAGAUACCCUGGUAGUCCACGCCGUAAACGAUGUCGACCAGCCGUUGGGUGCCUAGCGCACUUUGUGGCGAAGUUAACGCGAUAAGUCGACCGCCUGGGGAGUACGGCCGCAAGGUUAAAACUCAAAUGAAUUGACGGGGGCCCGCACAAGCGGUGGAGC
rnacentral:rRNA from 1 species